CUACUCGGGUAUCUAAUCCUGUUCGCUCCCCACGCUUUCGCACCUCAGCGUCAGUUACAGGCCAGAGAGCUGCCUUCGCCAUCGGUGUUCCUCCUGAUAUCUACGCAUUUCACCGCUACACCAGGAAUUCCACUCUCCCCUCCCGCACUCAAGUCCCCCAGUAUCCAACGCACUGUUCACGUUGAGCGCUGAACCUUUCACGUCAGACUUAAGGGACCGCCUACGCGCGCUUUACGCCCAGUAACUUCGGACAACGCUCGCCCCCUACGUAUUACCGCGGCUGCUGGCAC
rnacentral:rRNA from 1 species